GACGAACGCUGGCGGCGUGCUUAACACAUGCAAGUCGAACGGAAAGGCCCUGCUUUUGUGGGGUGCUCGAGUGGCGAACGGGUGAGUAACACGUGAGUAACCUGCCCUUGACUUUGGGAUAACUUCAGGAAACUGGGGCUAAUACCGGAUAGGAGCUCCUGCUGCAUGGUGGGGGUUGGAAAGUUUCGGCGGUUGGGGAUGGACUCGCGGCUUAUCAGCUUGAUGGUGGGGUAGUGGCUUACCAAGGCUUAGACGGGUAGCCGGCCUGAGAGGGUGACCGGCCACAUUGGGACUGAGAUACGGCCCAGACUCCUACGGGAGGCAGCAGUGGGGAAUAUUGCACAAUGGGCGGAAGCCUGAUGCAGCAACGCCGCGUGCGGGAUGACGGCCUUCGGGUUGUAAACCGCUUUCGCCUGUGACGAAGCGUGAGUGACGGUAAUGGGUAAAGAAGCACCGGCUAACUACGUG
rnacentral:rRNA from 1 species